GCGCCAUAUGAAACCCUAAUGCCCCACCUUGCGCACGCCCAUAAAAGCCAUGCCGUUCCUUCACACAGUUUUAUUUUUUGCAUGAGACUUCUUCAUGCAAAAUCAGAUGUCGUCCCCCUUCUUCUCAAUGCCCCUUAUGGAUAAUGAAGAUAAGGAAGGUUUGAUUUUGAAUUGAAACUUUAUUCCUUAUCUUGAAGAGAGUUGAUCUCAUCCAAAUCUUUUGGAUGCCUACC
rnacentral:lncRNA from 1 species